rnacentral:rRNA from 1 species
GCGACCGCCACGUUUGCGACCCCAGGUCAGG